rnacentral:rRNA from 1 species
UAAGCAGAUAGUGAAAUCUUGUGGCUCAACCAUGAGGCUAUUAUCUGAACUGGUUAACUUGAGAAUGAGAGAGGUAAUUGGAAUUCCCGGUGUAGGGGUGAAAUCCGUAGAUAUCGGGAAGAACACCAAUGGCGUAGGCAGAUUACUGGCUCAUUUCUGACACUAAGGCACGAAAGCGUGGGGAGCGAACCGGAUUAGAUACCCGGGUAGUCCACGCCGUAAACUAUGGAUGCUA